UACGUAGGGGGCUAGCGUUGUCCGGAAUCAUUGGGCGUAAAGCGCGUGUAGGCGGUCCGGUAAGUCCGCUGUGAAAGUCGAGGGCUCAACCUCGAAUGCCGGUGGAUACUGUCGGGCUUGAGUACGGGAGAGGCGAGUGGAAUUCCUGGUGUAGCGGUGGAAUGCGCAGAUAUCAGGAGGAACACCAAUAGCGAAGGCAGCUCGCUGGGACGUUACUGACACUGAGGCGCGAAAGCGUGGGGAGCGAACAGG
rnacentral:rRNA from 1 species